rnacentral:rRNA from 1 species
AACGAACGCUGGCGGCGUGCCUAAUACAUGCAAGUCGAGCGGACAGAAGGGAGCUUGCUCCCGGAAGUUAGCGGCGGACGGGUGAGUAACACGUGGGCAACCUACCCUGUAGAUCGGGAUAACAUCGAGAAAUCGGUGCUAAUACCGGAUAAUCAUUUGAAGUGCAUGCUUCGAAUGUAAAAGAUGGCUCCGGCUAUCACUACGGGAUGGGCCCGCGGCGCAUUAGCUAGUUGGUAAGGUAAUGGCUUACCAAGGCAACGAUGCGUAGCCGACCUGAGAGGGUGAUCGGCCACACUGGGACUGGGACACGGCCCAGACUCCGACGGGAGGCAGCAGUAGGGAAUCUUCCGCAAUGAACGAAAGUCUGACGGAGCAACGCCGCGUGAGUGAUGAAGGUUUUCGGAUCGUAAAGCUCUGUUGUUAGGGAAGAACAAGUGCCGUUUGAAUAAGGCGGCACCUUGACGGUACCUAACCAGAAAGCCACGGCUAACUACGUGCCAGCCGCCGCCGUAAUAC